AAAAAAAAAUCAGUUUUUCAAGCUUGGUGCAGCAGUGAUCAACUCCUCGAUCGAAGGUCCAUCCGUGGUUCGAUUGAGCUGAUUUUUGGACAGCAGCUAGGUGAUAAGGUGUUCUUGACUUUGUACGGUCAGAUUUUUCAUCCGAGACUUGUAGCGUCGGAAAUACCCAUUUUUCAGCAGCUACGUUUUUGGUGAUUUUCUCUCAUUUUUCUCUCUUUUGCUAAAGAUUACAUAUUGUUAGCCUUGUCAGAGUUGAAUGCUUGUUGUAGGCUUGAUAUUGUGA
rnacentral:lncRNA from 1 species